rnacentral:rRNA from 1 species
GUCCACGCCCUAAACGAUGGCAACUGGGUGUUGGGGGAGCGAUUCCUCAGUACCGUAGCUAACGCGUGAAGUUGCCCGCCUGGGGAGUACGGCCGCAAGGUUAAAACUCAAAGGAAUUGACGGGGACCCGCACAAGCGGUGGAUGAUGUGGAUUAAUUCGAUGCAACGCGAACAACCUUACCUACCCUUGACAUGUCCGGAACCCCAUUGAGAGGUGGGGGUGCCCGAAAGGGAAUCGGAACACAGGUGCUGCAUGGCUGUCGU